rnacentral:rRNA from 1 species
AUUGAACGCUGGCGGCAGGCCUAACACAUGCAAGUCGAACGAGUGGCGGACGGGUGAGUAAUGUCUGUGCAACUGCCUGAUGGAGGGGGAUAACUACUGGGAACGGUAGCUAAUACCGCAUACCAUCGGAUGUGCCCAGAUGGGAUUAGCUAGUAGUUGGGGUAAAGGCUCACCUAGGCGACGAUCCCUAGCUGGUCUGAGAGGAUGACCAGCCACACUGGAACUGAGACACGGUCCAGACUCCUACGUGAGGCAGCAGUGGGGAAUAUUGCACAAUGGGCGCAAGCCUGAUGCAGCCAUGCCGCGUGUAUGAAGAAGGCCUUCGGGUUGUAAAGUACUUUCAGCGGGGAGGCGUUACCCGCAGAAGAAGCACCGGCUAACUUCGUGCCAGCAGCCGCGGUAAUUC